GCCCUCGUGGUGGAAUGGUAGACACUUGGGACUUAAAAUCCCCUGCUCGUAAGAGCGUGCCGGUUCGAGUCCGGCCGGGGGCACCA
rnacentral:tRNA from 1 species